GAUGAACGCUGGCGGCGUGCCUAAUACAUGCAAGUCGAGCGAACAGACGAGGAGCUUGCUCCUUUGACGUUAGCGGCGGACGGGUGAGUAACACGUAGGUAACCUACCUAUAAGACUGGGAUAACUUCGGGAAACCGGAGCUAAUACCGGAUAAUAUUUCGAACCGCAUGGUUCGAUAGUGAAAGAUGGCUUUGCUAUCACUUAUAGAUGGACCUGCGCCGUAUUAGCUAGUUGGUAAGGUAACGGCUUACCAAGGCAACGAUACGUAGCCGACCUGAGAGGGUGAUCGGACACACUGGAACUGAGACACGGUCCAGACUCCUACGGGAGGCAGCAGUAGGGAAUCUUCCGCAAUGGGCGAAAGCCUGACGGAGCAACACCGCGUGAGUGAUGAAGGUCUUCGGAUCGUAAAACUCUGUUAUUAGGGAAGAACAAACGUGUAAGUAACUGUGCACGUCUUGACGGUACCUAAUCAGAAAGCCACGGCUAACUACGUG
rnacentral:rRNA from 1 species